rnacentral:rRNA from 1 species
UACGUAGGGGGCAAGCGUUGUCCGGAUUUAUUGGGCGUAAAGAGCGUGUAGGCGGCCAGACAGGUCCGUUGUGAAAACUCGAGGCUCAACCUCGAGACGCCGAUGGAAACCGUCUGGCUAGAGUCCGGAAGAGGACGACUGGAAUUUACGGUGUAGCGGUGAAAUGCGUAGAUAUCGUAAGGAAGACCAGUGGCGAAGGCGGGUCUCUGGACAGUUCCUGACGCUGAGGCACGAAGGUCAGGGGAGCAAACGGG